UACGAAGGGGGCUAGCGUUGCUCGGAAUCACUGGGCGUAAAGGGUGCGUAGGCGGGUCUUUAAGUCAGGGGUGAAAUCCUGGAGCUCAACUCCAGAACUGCCUUUGAUACUGAAGAUCUUGAGUUCGGGAGAGGUGAGUGGAACUGCGAGUGUAGAGGUGAAAUUCGUAGAUAUUCGCAAGAACACCAGUGGCGAAGGCGGACUCACUGGCCCGAUACUGACGCUGAGGCACGGAAAGCGUGGG
rnacentral:rRNA from 1 species